CGGUGUUUAACUGGCGUGAUGUGGGACGUCCUACCGGUGGGCUUAGCCUCGCGAGGGGCGGCCCAACUAAUAUCCCGUCGCGGUGCUCUUUACUGAGUGUCGAGUCGGGCCGGUACGUUUACUUUGAACAAAUUAGAGUGCUUAAAGCAGGCCAUCCUCGCCUGAAUACUGCGUGCAUGGAAUAAUGGAAUAGGACCUCGGUUCUAUUUUGUUGGUUUUCGGAACCCCGAGGUAAUGAUUAAUAGGGACAGAUGGGGGCAUUCGUAUUGCGACGUUAGAGGUGAAAUUCUUGGAUCGUCGCAAGACGGACAGAAGCGAAAGCAUUUGCCAAAAAUGUUUUCAUUAAUCAAGAACGAAAGUUAGAGGUUCGAAGGCGAUCAGAUACCGCCCUAGUUCUAACCAUAAACGAUGCCAGCUAGCGAUCCGCCGAAGUUCCUCCGAUGACUCGGCGGGCAGCUUCCGGGAAACCAAAGCUUUUGGGUUCCGGGGGAAGUAUGGUUGCAAAGCUGAAACUUAAAGGAAUUGACGGAAGGGCACCACCAGGAGUGGAGCCUGCGGCUUAAUUUGACUCAACACGGGAAACCUCACCAGGCCCAGACACCGGAAGGAUUGACAGAUUGAUAGCUCUUUCUUGAUUCGGUGGGUGGUGGUGCAUGGCCCGUUCUUAGUUGGUGGAGCGAUUUGUCUGGUUAAUUCCGAUAACGAACGAGACUCUAGCCUGCUAAAUAGGCGUACCUUAUGGUAUCGCGAAGGCCCCCGGCUUCGGCCGGUGGGUUUUUACUACCAACGUACAAACAAAUCUUCUUAGAGGGACAGGCGG
rnacentral:rRNA from 1 species